UACGUAGGGACCAAGCGUUGUUCGGAUUUACUGGGCGUAAAGGGCGCGUAGGCGGCGCGGUAAGUCACUUGUGAAAUCUCUGAGCUUAACUCAGAACGGCCAAGUGAUACUGCAGUGCUAGAGUGUGGAAGGGGCAACUGGAAUUCUCGGUGUAGCGGUGAAAUGCGUAGAUAUCGAGAGGAACACCGGUGGCGAAGGCGACAUCCUGGACCGGUAUUGACGCUGAGGCGCGAAAGCCAGGGGAGCAAACGGG
rnacentral:rRNA from 1 species